GUACCUUUUCAGCUGCCUUACAAAGUCUUACUGAAACUGAUUUUCAACCUAGGGUAGUUUUUUGUACUCGGUUCCUGCAAAUGUGUGAACGU